AUUGAACGCUGGCGGCAGGCCUAACACAUGCAAGUCGAAUGGUAACAGGAAACAGCUUGCUGUUUCGCUGACGAGUGGCGGACGGGUGAGUAAUGUCUGGGAAACUGCCUGAUGGAGGGGGAUAACUACUGGAAACGGUAGCUAAUACCGCAUAACGUCGCAAGACCAAAGAGGGGGACCUUCGGGCCUCUUGCCAUCAGAUGUGCCCAGAUGGGAUUAGCUAGUAGGUGGGGUAACGGCUCACCUAGGCGACGAUCCCUAGCUGGGCUGAGAGGAUGACCAGCCACACUGGAACUGAGACACGGUCCAGACUCCUACGGGAGGCAGCAGUGGGGAAUAUUGCACAAUGGGCGCAAGCCUGAUGCAGCCAUGCCGCGUGUAUGAAGAAGGCCUUCGGGUUGUAAAGUACUUUCAGCGGGGAGGAAGGGAGUAAAGUUAAUACCUUUGCUCAUUGACGUUACCCGCAGAAGAAGCACCGGCUAACUCCGUG
rnacentral:rRNA from 1 species